rnacentral:rRNA from 1 species
UAGGGAAUCUUCCGCAAUGGGAGAAAGCUUGACGGAGCAACGCCGCGUGAGUGAUGAAGGUCUUCGGAUCGUAAAACUCUGUUAUUAGGGAAGAACAAAUGUGUAAGUAACUAUGCACGUCUUGACGGUACCUAAUCAGAAAGCCACGGCUAACUACGUGCCAGCAGCCGCGUUAAUACGUAGGUGGCAAGCGUUAUCCGGAAUUAUUGGGCGUAAAGCGCGCGUAGGCGGUUUUUUAAGUCUGAUGUGAAAGCCCACGGCUCAACCGUGGAGGGUCAUUGGAAACUGGAAAACUUGAGUGCAGAAGAGGAAAGUGGAAUUCCAUGUGUAGCGGUGAAAUGCGCAGAGAUAUGGAGGAACACCAGUGGCGAAGGCGACUUUCUGGUCUGUAACUGACGCUGAUGUGCGAAAGCGUGGGGAUCAAACAGG